UACGAAGGGUGCAAGCGUUACUCGGAAUUACUGGGCGUAAAGCGUGCGUAGGUGGUUUCUUAAGUCUGCUGUGAAAGCCCCGGGCUCAACCUGGGAAUUGCAGUGGAUACUGGGGAGCUAGAGUGCGGUAGAGGGUAGUGGAAUUCCCGGUGUAGCGGUGAAAUGCGUAGAUAUCAGGAGGAACACCUGUGGCGAAAGCGGCUCACUGGACCAUAACUGACGCUGAUGCACGAAAGCUAGGGGAGCAAACAGG
rnacentral:rRNA from 1 species